AUUACUAUUAAUCUUUUAGUUAAUCUUUUUGUUUUGUGAACAUACGGAAAAAUAGAAAUCUUAUACACGGGUGCCGGCCAAAAGUAUUUGCCAAUAUUUUUUGUCAAUUAUGGAGAACACACGGAAUAUAUAAUAACAAUAUUGUUAAUUACUUAAUAAUGACUGGCUCAUCAUCACCAAUGUCUUCCUCGUUGGAAAAUUGUCUAUUCAUAAUAUUAUUUGCAAUGACACUAUUAGGGCGAAAAAUACUGCACCAUUUUCGAACAUGUACUUAAAUUAUAUAAUAAUAAUUUUAAAAAACCUAAACUCGAUGGUUAUGGUUCGAAGCCGAGAAAUACAAAUUAUCAUUAUUAUAUUAGUCCAAACAUCGGAAAACCGACCGGCGCAAUCAAAUAUGUUUACAGUUUCGUCGCAAAAUACUUAUAUUGUGGUCGAAAAACGAAAAUGCGUAGAUCCAUAUCAGAUAAAUCGAAUUUAUUACUAUCAGACUGAAACUCGGUGUACUUUAUACAUAAUUCGAAAAAUUGUAUCCAUAACUAUAUUCUAAUAUCUUUUUGCAGCAAUUAUACAUAUAGGCAGUGUUGAGAAAUAUCUUUGAUACAAGUAUCGAACAUCUUACAUACGUAAUAUCUAGAUACCCGGGUAUGAUAAUGAAGUAUUUUCCCCAUAGAUGGUCGCUACA